rnacentral:rRNA from 1 species
UACGUAGGGAGCAAGCGUUGUCCGGAAUCAUUGGGCGUAAAGCGCGCGUAGGUGGCCCCAUAAGUCCGCUGUGAAAGUCACAGGCUCAACCUUUGAAAGCCGGUGGAUACUGUGGGACUAGAGUACGGAAGAGGCGAGUGGAAUUCCUGGUGUAGCGGUGGAAUGCGCAGAUAUCAGGAGGAACACCGGUGGCGAAGGCGGGUCUCUGGGCCGAUACUGACGCUGAGGAGCGAAAGCGUGGGGAGCGAACAGG